rnacentral:rRNA from 1 species
CCUACGGGUGGCAGCAGUGAGGAAUAUUGGUCAAUGGGCGAGAGCCUGAACCAGCCAAGUAGCGUGAAGGAUGAAGGCUCUAUGGUUUGUAAACUUCUUUUAUAUGGGAAUAAAGUGAGGCACGUGUUCCUUUUUGUAUGUACCCUAUGAAUAGGCAUCGGCUAACUCCGUGCCAGCAGCCGCGGUAAUACGGAGGAUGCGAGCGUUAUCCGGAUUUAUUGGGUUUAAAGGGUGCGUAGGUGGUUAAUUAAGUCAGCGGUGAAAGUUUGGGGCUCAACCAUAAAAUUGCCGUUGAAACUGGUUGACUGGAGUUGAGUGGAGGUAGGCGGAAUGCGGGGUGUAGCGGUGAAAUGCAUAGAUAUAGCGCAGAACUCCGAUUGCGAAGGCAGCUUACCAAACUAGAACUGACACUGAGGCACGAAAGCGUGGGGAUCAAACAGGAUUAGAUACCCUUGUAGUC